AGUCGAGCGCCUCGCAGAGGAGCGGCAGACGGGUGAGUAACGCGUGGGAAUCUACCCAUCUCUACGGAACAACUCCGGGAAACUGGAGCUAAUACCGUAUACGUCCUUCGGGAGAAAGAUUUAUCGGAGAUGGAUGAGCCCGCGUUGGAUUAGCUAGUUGGUGGGGUAAUGGCCUACCAAGGCGACGAUCCAUAGCUGGUCUGAGAGGAUGAUCAGCCACAUUGGGACUGAGACACGGCCCAAACUCCUACGGGAGGCAGCAGUGGGGAAUAUUGGACAAUGGGCGAAAGCCUGAUCCAGCCAUGCCGCGUGAGUGAUGAAGGCCCUAGGGUUGUAAAGCUCUUUCAACGGUGAAGAUAAUGACGGUAACCGUAGAAGAAGCCCCGGCUAACUUCGUGCCAGCAGCCGCGGUAAUACGAAGGGGGCUAGCGUUGUUCGGAAUUACUGGGCGUAAAGCGCACGUAGGCGGAUAUUUAAGUCAGGGGUGAAAUCCCGGGGCUCAACCCCGGAACUGCCUUUGAUACUGGGUAUCUCGAGUCCGAGAGAGGUGAGUGGAAUUCCGAGUGU
rnacentral:rRNA from 1 species